AUGCUGGAGUUUGGGAAUGAUGCAACUACAGCGGAAGGCUUCAGUGCUCCGUGGAGACAAAAGAACCAAGACAGUUAACUCAGGCUAACAAAGCAAUGCUCCUCAAACUGUGAUCUCUGAACCAGCAGCAGCACCUGGGAACUUGUUAGAAAUGCAGAUUCUCCAGCCCCAUCCAUACCUACUGAGUCAGACAUCCAGUAUGCGGGCUUCUGUUGUGGCCUCUCCCGUUGCGGAGCACAGACUCCGGACGCGCAGGCUCCAGACGCGCAGGCUCCGGACGCGGACGCGCAGGCUCAGCGGCCAUGGCUUACGGGCCCAGCCGCUCCACGGCAUGUGGGAUCUUCCCGGACCGGGGCACAAACCCGUGUCCCCUGCAUCGGCGGACUCUCAACCACUGCGCCACCAGGGAAGCCCCCAGACCUUGAGCUUUUAGAGCCUCGUCUGCAGCACCUGAACCUGAUUUGGAUGAUGGGAUACUUGACCUUGAGUGUGAGAUGGAUGCUAUCCAGCUGAGAUACUUGGGAGUUCAAGGAGCAGAGAAAACAUGAAACGUAUGAUUCAGCAAGUUCCCGGAUGAACCUUAUCCUCCAUCCUAAUGUGGACUCAAAUUCGAAACUCUCUUUCCACACGUUACCCUGUUUGAAAUGUUUUUGAGCACUUAUGGU